UGCAAAUUGCAGUUGAACGCAAACAGCAAGAAAAUGCAAAAAUUGCUUGUGUCAUUAAGCGUAAGUCAAGCUUCUGAAGCUGUGUCCUUAAGGGGUUAAGGGGUUAAGCUGCAUCAAGGAAAAUUGUCCUGGCACUGAAUUACAUGUAUGCUUCACUUUUUUUUAAACCCAGUAAUCUUUACUAAAAGAGAAACACUCUAACACUUUCAAAUUAUAUUUAUUUUCAGUUAGAGUAUUCCUUUUAAGAUUAUGUCCUAUGUUUUUUUUAUUUAAAUACAUUUCUCGUUUAAUAUUUUAAAGGAAGAGGAGUAAAGGAAUUGUCUGUUUAAAAAGAGGCUCAUGUUUUGUUGGUUUAAAGUGAAACUAAAGGUUGCUUUUCUUCUAAACCCAGCCCAGUCUUCUCAUAUGAGAAAAGGAAGAAAAUUGUCCAUUGCAUGGUUUUGUUAAAUGUCAUUGUAUAAGUCUAUGUGGCAUAGUUUAAUAUAUGUUUGUGUAACAGUCUAAUACCGAGCAAUGGUGAUUUGGUAUUUUCAAUUGAAUUAUUACAGUAAUCCAGUAAUGCAUUUUCAUUUGGUUUUUGUUUUGGGCAAUAUUCAGUGUUUUCUUUCCACCUCUAGAUGGCACUAUUAUCUUGAUCUUGGUGCAGCCAUUGGCUGGAUAAUGGAAUAUGUAUGACUAUCAAUGUUACCAAAGAAAGGAAAAAUGAGCUUCCAUAAAUGCAUGAAUACUUGUAACCUAGGCCCUUUCUAAUGCACUCCUUUUACUUUGUGGAUUCUGUUCUGAGCUUGAAGCACAAAUUGAAAAAUUCUUGAAUAAAGAAAACUGUAUCUUAAAUAAAGAUACAAUCAUGCUAACCAAUAUCCCCUAAUACCUAGUUGUGCGCAUCUUGAUGAUGUAUGCAGAUGGAUUAUUCAAACCCAUUCAUUUUGGAGCAGCCAAGUUACAUUUCCUUUUUUUUGUGGUAACUAUUUAAUACCGGUUUACAGCUGUAAAUUGGUAUCAAUCUUUGCAGCAGAUAAUCAAUAUUACUGGCACAUUACAGUUUGAUCAUACGGUCUCCAUCUUAAUGAGAGAUAUAUCUUCAGAAGGAUAUUGAUACCUUAGAGAGGGUUCAGAGAAGGGCUACUAACUGGUUCAUGGAUUGCGGGAUAAAACUUACCAGGAAAGGUUAAAGGAUCUUAACAUGUAUAGCUUGGAGGAAAGACGAGACAGGGGGGAUAUGAUAGAAACAUUUAAAUAUAUAAAGGGAAUCAACACAGUAAAGGAGGAGACUAUAUUUAAAAGAAGAAAAACUACCACAACAAGAGGACAUAGUCUUAAAUUAGAGGGACAAAGGUUUAAAAAUAAUAUCAGGAAGUAUUACUUUACUGAGUGGGUAGUGGAUGCAUGGAAUAGCCUUCCAGCUGAAGUGGUAGAGGUUAACACAGUAAAGGAGUUUAAGCAUGCGUGGGAUAGGCAUAAGGCUAUCC